UGCGUAGGCGGGUUUCUAAGUCAGAGGUGAAAGCCUGGAGCUCAACUCCAGAACUGCCUUUGAUACUGGAAGUCUUGAGUUCGGGAGAGGUGAGUGGAACUGCGAGUGUAGAGGUGAAAUUCGUAGAUAUUCGCAAGAACACCAGUGGCGAAGGCGGCUCACUGGGCCAUUACUGACGCUGAGGCACGAAAGCGUGGGAGCAAACA
rnacentral:rRNA from 1 species